rnacentral:rRNA from 1 species
GGCUUAACCUCGUAAAGGCAGUGGAAACUGGAAGACUAGAGUGUAGUAGGGGCAGAGGGAAUUCCUGGUGUAGCGGUGAAAUGCGUAGAGAUCGGGAAGAACACCGGUGGCGAAGGCGCUCUGCUGGGCUAUAACUGACACUGAGGGACGAAAGCUAGGGGAGCGAAUGGGAUUAGAUACCCCAGUAGUCCUAGCGGUAAACGAUGGAAACUAGGUGUGGCCUGUAUCGACCCGGGCCGUGCCGAAGCAAACGCGUUAAGUUUCCCGCCUGGGGAGUACGCACGCAAGUGUGAAACUCAAAGGAAUUGACGGGGGCCCGCACAAGCGGUGGAGUAUGUGGUUUAAUUCGAUGCAACGCGAAGAACCUUACCAGGACUUGACAUCUCUGGAAUCUCCUUGAAAGGGGAGAGUGCCGUAAGGAACCAGAAGACAGGUGCUGCAUGGCUGUCGUCAGCUCGUGUCGUGAGAUGUUGGGUUAAGUCCCGCAACGAGCGCAACCCUCGUCGUUAGUUGCCAUCAUUAAGUUGGGAACUCUAGCGAGACUGCCG